rnacentral:rRNA from 1 species
CCUACGGGGGGCUGCAGUCGAGAAUUUUCCGCAAUGGGCGAAAGCCUGACGGAGCGACGCCGCGUGGAGGAAGAAGGCCUUCGGGUUGUAAACUCCUGUCGAGACUUAAGAAUGCAUCGGUCGUAACAAACCGGUGUUGACUAAGGGUCUGGAGGAAGCCACAGCUAACUUCGUGCCAGCAGCUGCGGUAAGACGAAGGUGGCAAGCGUUGUUCGGAUUCACUGGGCAUAAAGGGCGCGUAGGCGGUUCGGUAAGCGGCGUGUGAAAGCCCCUGGCUCAACCAGGGAAGUGCACGCCGGACUGCCGUUCUAGAGGGUGGUAGGGGGGACUGGAACUCUCGGUGGAGCGGUGAAAUGCGUAGAUAUCGAGAGGAACACCGGUGGCGAAGGCGAGUCCCUGGUCCACUUCUGACGCUGAGGCGCGAAAGCGUGGGUAGCAAACAGGCUUAGAUACCCCAGUAGUC